GGGGUAGGAGUAAUAUAUCGGAACGUGCCCAGUCGUGGGGGAGUAACGUAGAGAAAUUUACGCUAAUACCGCAUACGAUCUAAGGAUGAAAGCGGGGGGACCGGUAAGGCCUCGCGCGAUUGGAGCGGCUGAUAUCAGAUUAGGUUGUUGGUGAGGUAAAAGCUCACCAAGCCGACGAUCUGUAGCUGGUUUGAGAGAACGACCAGCCACACUGGGACUGAGACACGGCCCAG
rnacentral:rRNA from 1 species